GGCUGGAUAGCUCAGCUGGUUAGAGUGUGGUGCUGAUAACACCAAGGUUGCAGGUUCGAUCUCUGUAUGGGGCA